UGAGGCCCAAAAAGAUUAAGUAAUCUUCUUGAAGUCACAUAGCUAAUGGAUUGCAAUGCUUGGAUUUGAACCUGGGCAGGUGACUUUUGGAGCACUACAAAUUUAGUCCGCAUUUGGAUGACUGUCAUCUGAGCUGCCUAACCCAACAGGUGACUCCUGUUGACAAUGAAAAUCAUCCUGUGACUUGCUGCAGAUCUGAAUUUUUGUGCCUGGUGAUGCUGGUGGGUCUGUGCGGUGCUGUGAGGUGCCCUGAGAGAUCCUGAUGCACAGAGUACCCAGUAAGACAUCUGAGGAACUGCAGACUCAGCAGCUUCAGAACUUCAAGGAAUUGUUUGGAUUCAGAUGUCCUUAAAUUAUAAGAAACCCGUUUCUAAUCCAUGUGCAGCGAAAGCCUGGGGAAGCAGAUCCCUCUGGACAUUUUGUGCGUAAUUAGACAAGACCAAGUGAGUUCAACCAAAGCUCUGGGAAGUUCAAUUCCAAGUCUCAGAUCUGGGUGGAGAUGUGAAUGAAGAACACCUGGGAUUAUCCAUUACUGGCACAGAAUAGGCCUUUUCAUCUGCCAUACAAAUGUGCCUUAUGAGUUUUUUCUGCUCAUUCUGCAUGGGUUUCCUGCUUCAUUUAAACAUGUGGUGAGAUUGUCUGUUGGUCAAUUACCAUAAAGUUCAGAGAUAAAACUAAUCAUGUCAAAAUAAACCAGUCUGCUAAGAAAUUUUUGGUUCGAGAAACUUUAAGACUGCCUACAUUAUUGGAAAACCAACCCUUUAAAUUGUUUUAAAAGGUCUGUCAAGAAUGGGAAUAUGUUCAUGGCUGCAUGAUAACUAACUUCCACAGAAUCUUACUGCUGCU